AAGGGCAGGAGGUAACCAUUAAAGAGGACCAUCAUGUAGUGUGAGGAGUCAACAUUUCACACUAGAAAGCCCUUGGUUCAAGUUUUGUCUCUGCCACCUACAGAUUUUGUAACCCUGAAAAGCAGGGGCGAGUUUUAGAGUAUAGUGGACCUGCAACCUGAAAUACUCAAUAUGCACUUCUGUUAACUGCUUGUGUUAUUUAAUCCUCACAACUCCAUGAGGUAAAAGUUGUCCAGCCUUUCUAUUUUACAACUGAGGCUUCAAAAGAUAAAAGAGAUCCAUGCUGAAGGGAGAGGAAAAGAAGAAGACCCCAAGGACCACAGGCCUGGGCCUGUGUUAUCCCAAUGCCAUCAUCUCAGGAUACGAUGGGAGCUGCUAGGUGUAGAGAUGGCUCUUCUUUGAAGAAACCCCCAUGAAAUGGUUUCAGGGGAGGUCACUGUGGUUAUAUCCCAGAAGAUUUGCCCUGCAAGUGAAACAGAAGCUUCUCAUGGAGAUGUGGAGGGGGCUGCCCCGCUGUGUCAGAAAGUGGAGACUCUAUGGAACCAACCCCAUUAUACUGAGAUAGGGUUGAGGCUGCUGAUGGGUCUUUACCUAUUGUAGCUUCCAUUUGUAUGGUAGGCAGCCGCUAAGAUGGCCCCAGAUAUCACUGCCUUGUGAUAGUCCUGUCUUUGUGUAAUCCACUCCCCAUGAGUGUGGGCUGGAUCUACUGGCUCUCUUCUGCUAAACAGAUGAUCGAAAAAGUGAUGAAAUGUCACUUCUAAAAUUAGGUUACACAGAGAAUGUGGUUUCUUUUUUGCUCACUCCCUCUUACUCAGGGAAACUAGCUACCUCUUUAUGUACUGCCCUAUGGAGAGGCACACAUGUCAAGAAACUGAGGGAGUGCCUUCCAGUCAACAGCCAGCCAGGAACUAAGGUGCUCAGUACAGCAGCCUCCACAAAGGACUGAACAAUGCCAACAGCUAUUUGACUGUGCUUGGAAGAUCUCCGUUUAGUUAACCCUUCAGAUGAGACCGCAGCCCUGGCCAGCAAACAAAUUGCAGCCUAUGGAAAGACCUUAAGGCAGAAGCACCCAACUGAACCACCCGAGGGCUCUGACUUACAGAAACUGUGAGCAUAUAGUGAAAUGGCCUCUACCUUAUUUUGAAUGGAUUUCUGGGAUAAAGUUCUUCAGUGAUAACAUGUUUGAAUGAUGCUGCCUGGAGUUAAAGGAGGCCAGGAGCACCAGAAGCUGGAGGAGGCCGGGGUGGAUUCUCGCCUGGAGGCUUCAGUGGGAGCACGAGCUCCCGACACUUCGGUUCCAUCUCUUGUUUAAAGGCACCCAGUUUCUCAUCAUUUGUUACAGCACCAUGGAAAACCCACACACAAGUGAAGCCCCGACCCACCUCCCAAGUGCCCAUCUGAGCACCCCUCGUGGACUCUGAGCAGGGGGUUGCCAUCACCAACUCCAAGUCUUGCAGCCCCUCUUCCCUUCAGUCUGGCUGCCACCUUCUUCAUUGCCCUGGAAAAAAAUAAUGAAGUUUCACCAUUUAAAGGGUUUCAGUGCAGCUUGCUAUGGGAACACUGGAGAGUAACACAAAUGGCCAAUUGUCCUAAUAGCCACCAUGGAUUGGAUGGAUGCUAACAACAGGCUCACAGUUCUCCUUCUGUUGCCUCCUUUUAUCCACAUGAGAAUCAAACAAGACUACUGAUUAAAUGAAGCCUUUGAUGAAGUGCAUGCAGUUUGUAGCUUGAUUCAUGGGAAUACUCAUCACAGACUGAAAGUGUAACCCAGGGUCUCUGGGUUUUUGGGAACGCGCUGUGUAAAAGUAUCUACUUGUAACUGUUACUCCCUGAGUUGUUGUUGUUUUAGAAAGUUCCAAGAAGAAGCUUAGCCUUGGAAAAAACAAAAACUGGUUGAAUCCAGAAGUGGAGAUGAAUUUUGGCCAACGCUCCUCACUGCCACACUAAAAACCCUGCUCAGAGAGGAGCUUAUUCACCAUGUUCUAUUCAUGCAAUGUGUGUGGAAACAUGAUCUACGACAGCAUGCGUGCUGCCUUCACCCUACCUCUACAUACAAUGACUCAUUUAACCUGCUGAAUAAAAGCCCUGUUUUCACCUUUGCUGGGGGAGGUGCCGCUUUGGGAACUAUUCGCAGUGUCCUCUUCACUUUUUGCAAGUAAUAGAAUACCCUUGUUAAAUC
ensembl:lncRNA LINC01229 long intergenic non-protein coding RNA 1229